CGUGAGUAACCUGCCUUAGAGUGGGGAAUAACACAGUGAAAACUGUGCUAAUACCGCAUAAUGCAUUUGGGUCGCAUGAUUCUGAAUGCCAAAGAUUUAUCGCUCUGAGAUGGACUCGCGUCUGAUUAGCUGGUUGGCGGGGUAACGGCCCACCAAGGCGACGAUCAGUAGCCGGACUGAGAGGUUGACCGGCCACAUUGGGACUGAGACACGGCCCAG
rnacentral:rRNA from 1 species